UUUGAGCGUUGCUAGUCUGACUAGCUCGUUCGUAAUACAUUAGCAUCUCUAAUUCGAAUUCGGAUUGACUCAGUGUAAUAGACUAUUCGCUGAGGACACUUUUAUUAGUGGCCGGACUAGAAACCAGUAGAAGCUUCCAACUAUUGUAGUCAUUUCUAUUUUUAGACCUCAGAUCAGGCAGGAUUACCCGCUGAACUUAA
rnacentral:misc_RNA from 1 species